UACGUAGGCAGCGAGCGUUGUUCGGAGUUACUGGGCGUAAAGGGUGUGUAGGCGGUUCUUUAAGGUUGGUGUGAAAUCUCCCGGCUCAACCGGGAGGGUGCGCCGAAUACUGAGGGACUUCGAGUGCGGGAGAGGAAAGUGGAAUUCCUGGUGUAGCGGUGAAAUGCGUAGAUAUCGGGAAGAACACCCGUGGCGAAGGCGGCUCUCUGGGACGGUACUGACGCUGAGACGCGAAAGCGUGGGGAGCGAACAGG
rnacentral:rRNA from 1 species